ACGAACGCUGGCGGCACGCUUAACACAUGCAAGUCGAACGAGAGAAGAGGAGCUUGCUUUUCUGAUCUAGUGGCGGACGGGUGAGUAACACGUGAGCAAUCUGCCUUUCAGAGGGGGAUACCGAUUGGAAACGAUCGUUAAUACCGCAUAACAUAAUUGAACCGCAUGAUUUGAUUAUCAAAGAUUUAUCGCUGAAAGAUGAGCUCGCGUCUGAUUAGCUAGUUGGUAAGGUAACGGCUUACCAAGGCGACGAUCAGUAGCCGGACUGAGAGGUUGAUCGGCCACAUUGGGACUGAGACACGGCCCAGACUCCUACGGGAGGCAGCAGUGGGGAAUAUUGCACAAUGGAGGAAACUCUGAUGCAGCGAUGCCGCGUGAGGGAAGAAGGUUUUAGGAUUGUAAACCUCUGUCUUCAGGGACGAAAAAAGACGGUACCUGAGGAGGAAGCUCCGGCUAACUACGUGCCAGCAGCCGCGGUAAUACGUAGGGAGCGAGCGUUGUCCGGAAUUACUGGGUGUAAAGGGAACGUAGGCGGGAUCGCAAGUCAGAUGUGAAAACUAUGGGCUUAACCCAUAAACUGCAUUUGAAACUGUGGUUCUUGAGUGAAGUAGAGGUAAGCGGAAUUCCUAGUGUAGCGGUGAAAUGCGUAGAUAUUAGGAGGAACAUCAGUGGCGAAGGCGGCUUACUGGGCUUUAACUGACGCUGAGACUCGAAAGCGUGGGGAGCAAACAGGAUUAGAGACCCUGGUAGUCCACGCCGUAAACGAUGAUUACUAGGUGUGGGGGGACUGACCCCUUCCGUGCCGCAGCAAACGCAAUAAGUAAUCCACCUGGGGAGUACGACCGCAAGGUUGAAACUCAAAGGAAUUGACGGGGGCCCGCACAAGCAGUGGAGUAUGUGGAUUAAUUCGAAGCAACGCGAAGAACCUUACCAGGUCUUGACAUCGUAUGCAUAGCUCAGAGAUGAGUGAAAUCUCUUCGGAGACAUAUAGACAGGUGGUGCAUGGUUGUCGUCAGCUCGUGUCGUGAGAUGUUGGGUUAAGUCCCGCAACGAGCGCAACCCUUACUGUUAGUUGCUACGCAAGAGCACUCUAGCAGGACUGCCGUUGACAAAACGGAGGAAGGUGGGGAUGACGUCAAAUCAUCAUGCCCCUUAUGACCUGGGCCUCACACGUACUACAAUGGCUGUCAACAGAGGGAAGCAAAGCCGCGAGGUGGAGCAAACCCCUAAAAGCAGUCUUAGUUCGGAUUGUAGGCUGCAACCCGCCUACAUGAAGUCGGAAUUGCUAGUAAUCGCAGAUCAGCAUGCUGCGGUGAAUACGUUCCCGGGCCUUGUACACACCGCCCGUCACGCCAUGGGAGUCGGUAACACCCGAAGCCUGUAGUCUAACCGCAAGGAGGACGCAGUCGAAGGUGGGAUUGAUGACUGGGGUG
rnacentral:rRNA from 1 species